UACGUAGGGGGCUAGCGUUGUCCGGAUUUAUUGGGCGUAAAGAGCGUGUAGGCGGCCAGGUAGGUCUGGUGUGAAAACUCGAGGCUUAACCUCGAGAUGUCAUCGGAAACCAUCUGGCUAGAGUCCGGAAGAGGAGAGUGGAAUUCCUGGUGUAGCGGUGAAAUGCGCAGAUAUCAGGAAGAACACCAAUGGCGAAAGCAGCUCUCUGGGACGGU
rnacentral:rRNA from 1 species